UCAAAAACGCAGCUGGGGUUCGAAUUCAUUGUCGGUCUUGGUCAGCUAUCCGAUGUUUAUGGUGAUUCAGAUUACUGAUAACUGCAGAAUGUAGACAGAUAGUUCUUUUAUUCUGUGCGAGAUUGUUGUGGACAAUUUAAGGAUAAUCAUGCAAGUGUACAUAAAAAAGAGGUUUAGUUAUAGUAGAUUAUAGUAGGUGUAGACGUUGAACACAAUGCCCCAACUUGUUCAUAAAGUCACUCAU